rnacentral:ncRNA from 1 species
GCAGAGUAGGAAGAUGUGCGUUAAGUGCCAGCCGGACGGGGAGUUGCCGGCAGGACGAAAAGCAAUCAACAAUGGAUUGUUUGCGGUACAUGUUCCGCAUCCCGCUGC